rnacentral:rRNA from 1 species
AGUGAACGCUGGCGGUAGGCCUAACACAUGCAAGUCGAACGGCAGCACAGUAAGAGCUUGCUCUUACGGGUGGCGAGUGGCGGACGGGUGAGGAAUACAUCGGAAUCUACUUUUUCGUAGGGGAUAACGUAGGGAAACUUACGCUAAUACCGCAUACGACCUACGGGUGAAAGCAGGGGAUCUUCGGACCUUGCGCGAUUGAAUGAGCCGAUGUCGGAUUAGCUAGUUGGCGGGGUAAAGGCCCACCAAGGCGACGAUCCGUAGCUGGUCUGAGAGGAUGAUCAGCCACACUGGAACUGAGACACGGUCCAGACUCCUACGGGAGGCAGCAGUGGGGAAUAUUGGACAAUGGGCGCAAGCCUGAUCCAGCCAUACCGCGUGGGUGAAGAAGGCCUUCGGGUUGUAAAGCCCUUUUGUUGGGAAAGAAAAGCAGCAGGUUAAUACCCCGCUGUUCUGACGGUACCCAAAGAAUAAGCACCGGCUAACUUCGU